rnacentral:rRNA from 1 species
UACGUAGGAGACAAACGUUAUCCGGAGUUACUGGGCGUAAAGGGCGGUGUAGGCGGUUUGUUAAGUCUGGCGGUCGGAAAGCUCUCGGCUAAACCGGGAGAGGUCGUUGGAUACUGGCAAACUUGAGGACGGUAGAGGCGUGUGGAAUUCCGGGUGUAGUGGUGAAAUGCGUAGAGAUCCGGAGGAACACCAGUGGCGAAGGCGACACGCUGGGCCGUACCUGACGCUAAAGCGCGACAGCAUGGGAGCAA